rnacentral:rRNA from 1 species
GACGAACGCUGGCGGCGUGCUUAACACAUGCAAGUCGAACGGAAAGGCCCUGCUUUUGUGGGGUGCUCGAGUGGCGAACGGGUGAGUAACACGUGAGUAACCUGCCCUUGACUUUGGGAUAACUUCAGGAAACUGGGGCUAAUACCGGAUAGGAGCUCCUGCUGCAUGGUGGGGGUUGGAAAGUUUCGGCGGUUGGGGAUGGACUCGCGGCUUAUCAGCUUGUUGGUGGGGUAGUGGCUUACCAAGGCUUUGACGGGUAGCCGGCCUGAGAGGGUGACCGGCCACAUUGGGACUGUGAUACGGCCCAGACUCCUACGGGAGGCAGCAGUGGGGAAUAUUGCACAAUGGGCGGAAGCCUGAUGCAGCAACGCCGCGUGCGGGAUGACGACCUUCGGGUUGUAAACCGCUUUCGCCUGUGACGAAGCGUGAGUGACGGUAAUGGGUAAAGAAGCACCGGCUAACUACGUG